rnacentral:rRNA from 1 species
CUACGGGAGGCUGCAGUGGGGAAUAUUGGACAAUGGGGGAAACCCUGAUCCAGCAAUGCCGCGUGUGUGAAGAAGGCCUUAGGGUUGUAAAGCACUUUCAGUAGUGAGGAAAAGUUUAAGGCUAAUACCCUUGAACCCUGACGUUAACUACAGAAGAAGCACCGGCUAACUUCGUGCCAGCAGCCGCGGUAAUACGAAGGGUGCAAGCGUUAAUCGGAUUUACUGGGCGUAAAGCGCGCGUAGGCGGUUUGAUAAGUCGGAUGUGAAAGCCCCGGGCUCAACCUGGGAAUUGCAUUCGAUACUGUCAGGCUAGAGUAUGGUAGAGGGAAGUGGAAUUCCACAUGUAGCGGUGAAAUGCGUAGAUAUGUGGAGGAACACCAGUGGCGAAGGCGACUUCCUGGCCCAAUACUGACGCUGAGGUGCGAAAGCGUGGGGAGCAAACAGGAUUAGAUACCCGCGUAGUC